rnacentral:rRNA from 1 species
GCCGCCCUCCUGGCGUCGCACUAUACCCUUUGUGACAUACCUAUAACUGUUGCUUCGGCGGGUAGGGUCUCCGCGACCCUCCCGGCCUCCCGCCUCCGGGCGGGUCGGCGCCCGCCGGAGGAUAACCAAACUCUGAUUUAACGACGUUUCUUCUGAGUGGUACAAGCAAAUAAUCAAAACUUUUAACAACGGAUCUCUUGGUUCUGGCAUCGAUGAAGAACGCAGCGAAAUGCGAUAAGUAAUGUGAAUUGCAGAAUUCAGUGAAUCAUCGAAUCUUUGAACGCACAUUGCGCCCGCCAGCAUUCUGGCGGGCAUGCCUGUUCGAGCGUCAUUUCAACCCUCAAGCUCUGCUUGGUGUUGGGGCCCUACAGCUGAUGUAGGCCCUCAAAGGUAGUGGCGGACCCUCCCGGAGCCUCCUUUGCGUAGUAACUUUACGUCUCGCACUGGGAUCCGGAGGGACUCUUGCCGUAAAACCCCCCAAUUUUCCAAAGGUUGACCUCGGAUCAGGUAGGAAUACCCGCUGAACUUAAGCAUAUCAAUAAGCGGAGGAA